AUUACUCCUACGGGAGGCAGCAGUGGGGAAUCUUGCGCAACGGGCGAAAGCCUGACGCAGCAACGCCGCGUGGGGGACGAAGGCUUUCGGGUUGUAAACCCCUUUCAGCAGGAACGAAAUUGACGGUACCUGCAGAAGAAGCCCCGGCUAACUACGUGCCAGCAGCCGCGGUAAUAAU
rnacentral:rRNA from 1 species